AUUAUUUCAUAAGUGACCAAUGUUGUCAUAAGCUUAUCUUCUAAGGGAAGUGCAAUAAACUCUUUUCAUGUCUUUUAUCACCUAGCUCCUUGCAUGAUCCGAAGCUUCUCUCUCAUGAAAAGCCUGGCGUACGUUGCCUGAUUUUCAUCCCCUGCGACCAAGUACUGGUUGUAUCUUAAUUUCUAAUAUGCUGAAUGAUGCAGAUCUGGGGAGUGGGGGGACCAUGUUGCUUUACAGGCAGCAACUGAUAAGUUUGCAGCGAAGAUAUGCCUUUUGACAUCAUUUAGAGAUACUGGUUUUAUUGAAAUCAUGCCACAGUACCAGGCACCUAAACGUGGUAAGACUGGAAUGACUCCCAGGCUUGCUGGCCACCAUACUGCCUCCAAUUUCACCAAAUCAAUCCUGCUUCUGACGCACUACUGAUAACUUUUUUUCCCUAUGUUUUUAGCAUAUGGAUCACUGUUAGGAAAAAAAGUUUUCAGAUGCUGUCUAUGUGCAGGAUGUAGUGGUGGUUGUUUUUUGGUUUGAUCAGGAAUCACAACUUCCAUCAUUGACUCCGGUCUCUAAUGUGUUAAUGGGAUACUUCAAUUAUAACUCUAACUUUAUUUCCUCGCAUACUUCGUAGUUCGUAUAUUUGUCACUUUGUAAGUAGUAUAGCAAUGGCCAUCAAAUUGAGAGAU